UACAGAGGGGGCGAGCGUUAUUCGGAAUUAUUGGGCGUAAAGGGCGCGUAGGCGGCUUUUCAAGUGACGGGUGAAAUCCCUCGGCUUAACCGAGGAACUGCCUGUCAGACUGGAAGGCUUGAGACCGGGAGAGGUGAGUGGAAUACCCAGUGUAGCGGUGAAAUGCGUAGAUAUUGGGAGGAACACCAGUGGCGAAGGCGGCUCACUGGACCGGAACUGACGCUGAGGCGCGAAAGCGUGGGGAGCAAACAGG
rnacentral:rRNA from 1 species